CCUACGGGAGGCAGCAGUGAGGAAUAUUGGUCAAUGGGCGGAAGCCUGAACCAGCCAAGUAGCGUGCAGGAUGACGGCCCUACGGGUUGUAAACUGCUUUUAUACGGGAAUAACGCGCCUUACGUGUAGGGCUUUGCAUGUACCGUAUGAAUAAGGACCGGCUAAUUCCGUGCCAGCAGCCGCGGUAAUACGGAAGGUCCGGGCGUUAUCCGGAUUUAUUGGGUUUAAAGGGAGCGUAGGCCGCAUGUCAAGCGUGCUGUGAAAUGUCCGGGUUCAACCCGGGCCUUGCAGGGGGAACUGGAGUGCGUGAGUCCGCGAGAAGCAGGCGGAAUUCGUGGUGUAGCGGUGAAAUGCUUAGAUAUGACGAAGAACCCCGAUUGCGAAGGCAGCUUGCUGCAGCGGAACUGACGCUGAUGCUCGAAAGCGCGGGUAUCGAACAGGAUUAGAUACCCGUGUAGUC
rnacentral:rRNA from 1 species